CUGCGUCCUGCGGGAACGCGCCGAGCGAAGUCAUUUCAUGUCAGCCAUUUCAAGAAAUCAGCCCCAGUUUAAAGGGAUUUCACGAUUUUAUUCCUCUAUCGACGCCUCUGAACAGAAGCAGAAAAGGCCUACUCUGGACGGUUCAGCAUUCGACCUACAUCUGAAGGACAAGGGACACUCCCUUGAGGACAACAACGUCCACAUUUUAGCUAAAGAAGACAGAUGGUUUAAAAGAAAAAAAAAAGAAAAAGGAAGCCAUCUGUUUAAAAAAUCCUUCUCUGAAAAGGGCAGGUUGACUGGGACAUAACCUGCCAUUAGUCUACGAUAAAAUACAGUCUUAACAUCUGUCCCCAAGAAGUUUUACCCCCUUUCACUCCCCGAGGCCGGAGCCUCUGACUCAUAACGGGCUGUUUGAGCACCAUUCACUGGAGGAAGAGGAGGACAGGGACAAACAGUCUCCUCCCACAAGAUGCCCACAGACGCUUCCUAUUUAAACCCCAACUCAACGGCGGCCUUUUAAAACUGAAGAAGCUACGUGGAUGAAUCGUCUUCAUUUUUUCCAAAACAUGCUACUAUUCCUCAGCAAAUUCCUAAAGGUAAAUAACACCACGAAGAAAAUAAGCUUUUCUAUUCACAUACAGUACUUGACAAAACAAUAACAGUAAUAUGAACCACAGCCCCCAAGAAGAUAACAGACUUGAAUCAAUAGCUCUAUUAAGAUAAGAUUCGGUGUAGGGCCACUACCUUAGAGAGUCUUACUUUUCACAAGUGUACUUCAUGAAUCGAAACACUUUUCCCCAUGCAGAUCUCAGCAGUCUCAUCCAUUUCUGAUGGUGAGCAGUUCCGCUUUGACAUCUGCAGCUCUGGUGAUAACAUCUUUGGGAGAUUUUACUAUUGAAACAAGCUAUAUCCUCUCAGGCCAAAAUAGCUCAGAUGACCUAUCUCUGUCUUGUAGACGUCAACAACCGUUAUUCUCGUUUAAGAGAACUCAACCCACUUAAGAGGCAUUAUUUAUUUAUAAAACACUUACCAUUCACAACUUGAGCUUCGUCGCAUAAUUAGAUGUGCUUUUCAGAAGGGAAGAAACAAAACCAUUCAUUAUGUUUUGAAUAGUAGCUGGGAAACCAAAUAGUGCUUUAUUAUGGUUUUACACCUACUUGAAACCUUUACCUGAGAAAAUGUGAAUAAGAGUGUAAUGAAUGUGAAAUGAAGACAGAGAAAUAGCACUUAAGAAAAGUUCUUUACUGAAACAAAGACAUGACUUUUACAAAAUGAUUGAAUGACAAUCUGGAGGCUCUUUCAUUUCUCUUCAGGAGGGGACGAGAACAGACGGCUCCCGUCUCCCGGGGCGACAGGUUAACAUCUUUAAAAUAGACUACAUGGCAUUUACAGGUUUUACAAAACAACACGAUAAAAUAGAAUAGAAAAUCCCCGCCCGCACGUACAACUCUGCUGAGAGUUUCUGUAUUAAAUAAAUUAAUUCUCCACGGGGCUGAAGCACCUCAUGACUUUUUUUUUACCCGGCGACAGCCUAAAGUGUUCUCAGUGUCUGCAGUCUCACACAACACAAGGAAGAGUUUACAGACACCGUGCCCAAAAAGUUACAGACGUAAUCUGAUCAAAAGGUCUGGCCGAGAGAGGGAGGGGCAGAGAAACCGAGACAUUUGAUACACGUAAAAACUCACACUCCAAAACAUUUUCUUUUAACACAAAUCGUCAACGGCGACGCAGACCUGCGCAAACAUCGUCGCAGACUGGACUUAAACGUACAACUUUCAGUAGGCGGGUGGAGGAAAACAAUAAACUGGGUAGACAAACAUUAAAAAUCUUUAAAAUCUUUAAAAUUCAUCCAUAUUCCGUAGAAAAAAUAGAACAAUAGAACAACCUCGGCAUCGGCCUCAAAGCACCUAUUAAACAGGCCCUUUAGAAACAAAUCGACAUGUUGAACUGCAUUCAGUUCACUAAAAUAAAGCAGCUAACUGCAUUUAAAAAAAAAAAAGAAAGAAAAAAAAAAGAGGAGGCAUCAUCAGUGAAUAAAAUGGCUCAUGGCUCCGCUCCCAUAAAUAUAUAUAUAUAUGUAUAUAUAUAUUUUAUAUUUGUGGGUCCAUUUGAAACAGCAGUGUAGUCUGGAAUGCUGGGGAAACGUACGUAGUCACGUGUGGGAGCUGUGAAUGUCUGGCCGUGCUGUGGAGAUUCUUUCAAACGGCGAAACCAGGUUUGAGAUAGUUCCCUCAAACUCCAGUUUGCGUACGACACGGUAAUCUCAACAAGUGUUAUAUCAUCUCCUCUCAAUAGUGCAGUUGUAUAGCUAGUAAAUCGAAUUUUCCUUUCACGACACUAGUAAGGCCACAAAUGAAUUCCACGUUUUUUUUUUUUUACAAAUUCGUAUCAGGUUUCUUAUCAGUAAACGGAGCGAAUAUCGAUAUGCGCAAACAAAAACGCCACACAAAUUCAACAGCACGGAGGGUUUUCAAGUACCAGCGUUUUUUAACUACUCGGACAGAUCAUUCCUGACUUUAGGCAUAGUGUUUAUACAGCUGCUACUGUCGGGACAACAUAUUUAUUUUUUUUUUUUUUAAAAAAAAACAGGUUGAUAAAAAUGGCACAAUUGUGCUUGAAAAUGUUCAAAAAAGGGAAGUAUUUAUUUGGUGCUGUUACAGAUGUUAGGUGCAGUUUUGAAAAAAAAAACGGGUUUUUGUUUCGUUUGCUGUUAAAUUAUUCUCCUGUAACAGUUGCAAGAAGUUAAUUUUUAGAGUUUUUAUCAUGUUUGUAUGUUAUUUAUAGUGGAAUUUCUGUUUCUGGUGAAAAUCAUCCACGUGCACGUGUUUUAAGUGGAUAUUCAAUGUUCGCCGGGAUGUAAUUUUUUGAUGGCUGCAAUUCAAUGGAAUUAUGUAAACACGCUGUGUCAGGUUGGGAUUUCCCAUUUGGCUGCCAGCACGGCCCAAUUAUCAAAGUUGACAACAGCUCUGAAGUCCCAGAGCCCCCGUGGUGCCUCUGAGGGACCAGCGCGAAUCCACAUAAGCAGCUGUAAACAUCCACUUCUCACAGGUUUGUUUUAAAGUACUUCACAUCCGUCCCGAUGUAAAGAACCAUUUAGGGUAGAUUGACUGCCUGUUAAAACGACUCUCUGGGCAGAGAGUCACACAUUCACGGUUAAAAUAUCUACUCCUCGUACAUGAGAAGCACAAACUGGAGCUACAAAAUGUUUUUUUUUUUUUUUUUUUGGAUACAAAAUAAUUUGAGACGUUGCACCAUUUGAGAAAAAUACAAAGUUGGGGUCCUGCUUUAUUCUGUAACGUUGCAGCGACGGCAUGUUGAACGAGCGUGGCAGCACCUACACAACCUAGACAAUAUGGAGCCUGGCAGGUGGCGGCAGUAACAUUUAACAGUAACAUUUAGAGAUGAAACGAUUAGUUUUAUUAGGGGAAGGAACAAAAAAAAAAACAAACAAAAAAAAAAAAUCCUAGGCAUUUUGCAGUUUUACUGGAUCCAGUUUUUCUCUGUUACUAUUAUUUUAACCUGAAUGGUACAUGAAUGUGAUACAGCUUGAGUCACAGUUAUUAGCCCUCUUUACAAAACCGACCCAAACCCAUAUGUUUUUACUAAACAAUGACGUCAAUACAGGAGUUACUUCCUCUGUCAGACUUUUGAUUGGCAUUUUAACUUCGUCCAAAUUGUUUUACAGAUAAUUUGAAGAUUUUAUCUCAUCAGUCCAAAGGACAAAGCUUCCAAAAACUAAUUUCCCAACUGAAUUCAAAUGGACGCAAACUUCAAUGUGGUUUUGCAACCACACACAACCUGUUGUUAGCACUUUCCAAAACAAUGCUUCUCACUGGAGCUGGUAACAGAAAUCAAGGGUCAUAAAGCACAGAGUCAGGAGGAACAGGUGUAAACCCUUGACUUAUUCAGUAAGUCUAUAUAUAUAUAUAUAUAUAUACACACACACAUGCUGUCAUUGUUCCGUUUCUUGUGUAACAAUCUGUAACAAUCCUGAGAGACUUAAGUUACUAUCUUGUUUCAUUCUGCUGUUACUUCAUUUCAGGUUCUCUUCUUGUAAAGCCGUUUUUGAAGUUGCUGUUGUUACACCAUUUCCCUUGUGAGUGUUAUAAAGUCGGGUUGCUGACACAAUUUUCUCUUGUCGAAACAUUGUCAAAUGCACUGAAAGGGCCAGGUUCACACCGCUGGCUUCACUUUUUUUAAUAAUUUUACCCGUCUUUUAAAAGAAGUGUUAUCUGAUCAGACAGGAAGUUUCCUAGCUAAUCAUUUGACCUUAACCGUGGGGAAGUCGUGAUGGGAAUUUGGCGGUACUUAUUUUUCCGACACCAUAAAACGAGCAAUUAGUAACGACAACAAUCAUGAAUUACAGCCAUAAACGUUUAUGAUUCCUGGACGGUAAGUAAAGCAGUGAGUCAAACCCUCAACGUAUUAGUUGGUUAACUGAGCGAGUAACCUUGUCUUUUUUUUUUUUACUGUUUUCAUUCUCUUUUUAAUCUAAAUUUGUUUUAAAUUGAAUGAUUAUUAUCCCUUGUGUUGUUUUUGUUUGUUGUAAUGUUUAUGAUUAACUAUAUUGUGUUUCUGUAACUGCACUGGUCGACUGAGGUUGUUUUAAACGUGCUCUACAAAUAAACUCUGACUUCACUUCA